rnacentral:rRNA from 1 species
AAUAUUUGACAAUUGGCGAAAGCCUGAUCCAGCCAUUCCGCGUGUGUGAAGAAGGUCUNUGGAUUNUNAAGCACUUUAAGUUGGGNGGAAGGGCAGUACGUUAAUUCUUUGCUGUUUUGACGUUACCGACAGAAUAAUGACCGGCUAACUGCGAGCCAGCAGCCGCAGUAAUACGAAGGGUGCAAGCGUUAAUCGGAAUUACUGGGCGUAAAGCACGCGUAGGUGGCUUGUUAAGUAGGAAGUGAUGGCACCGGGCUCAACCUGGGAACAGCCUUCAAAACUGGCGAGCUAGAGUAUGGCAGAGGGUGGUGGAAUUUCCUGUGUAGCAGUGAAGUGCGUAGAUAUAGGAAGGAACACCAGUGGCGAAGGCGACCACCUGGGCUAAUACUGACACUGAGGUGCGAAGGCGUGGGGAGCAAACA